GCGGUAAUCAGCAGAAAAUAAGGAUCGGGGGAGCCCAGACUGAGUUUUAAAUUAGUUUUAAAUUAGUGGAACUCCAUUGGCUUGCCCAGAGUUAUUUCUGAUUUGCACAGAGAUAACCAAUAUCAGAAUCAGAUGCCAGAUGUAUGAAAACCCGUUGUGUUUACAGCCAUGUGGCAGUCCUGCAGAAAUGGGCCUGGUGGCAUUUCAGGGUGCUGGGCCGUACAGGCCAUGGCAUCCCACAUGCCCUGCUGGCAUCUUGGGUAUCGCCCUGAGGCUCGCCAUGCCUUCUUUGCAGAGGAACAUACUGAGCACCUAAAGGAAGAGUCCAAGGCUACUUUGUAUAGACUAAACAACAAACAAAUGGGAGCUGGAGUCUCCUCCUGGAGGAAUCAUGACUGUUGGAACUUUUCAUCUUUCUGAAGCCUUUGAUAGACUUUAGAGAGAAUGCAGGCAAAGAAAGACCUGAGGAUGAAGCAAAGAUCAUUAUGUGAAUGAAGAAACGGUAGUCUCUUCUAAACCAGAGAGUGCACUCCAAAUUCAAUACCAUUUUUUCUGAAUUAUAUCUGGUAUUUUACUAAGGAUAUUUACAUGCUCUGUGUUCCUACUCAAACACUAUUGCAGGUACUUAAGAUGUUCUUGCAACAAACGUACAACAAAAUCAUAAUUAAUUUGAAGGAAAUAUGCUUGACUGACUCAAAGUGCAAAAACAUCUUUUACUGGUUCCCAUGCAAGCAAGAAUGUCAUGGUUUUGACUCUGAAUCUGCAUGUGUUUUUGUAUUUGUUUGCUUAUUUGGGUCAAAUGCUCCUAUACAUCAACGUGAUGGCUCAGGAUCAACAGGAUGACACAUCACUAAGGGCUCAGAAUCAGCUGUAUACAGGGAAAAUACCCUGGAUUUGGGCCUCGCCAGAAUUCAUUGGCACGUUAGGUGAGCUUAGGCAAUUCCACUUAUCUCAUCCAGCUGCCUUCAAUACUGCCUGCUUUUUCUCUCUCUGAUAGCAUUUCUUCAGGCCAAUGAUAUUCUUGCUGUCAAUACAAGGUGGUUAGCAUCGCUAAAGACUCUGAAAUAUAAAUAACAUUCAUGUCUGUGCUGAAGUCAUGUAGACUUCACUGGAUAGCUGUAAAAUUGCAAUGUUUAUCUGCAUUGCUCUAAUAACAAUAAUAACUAGUGGCUCCUUACGUCAUGAAAGAAUGUAUUCACUAUGGUUUUUAAAUUUAAAAUAUUUUAUGAGACAAGUCUUUCAAGACUGAUUUUCUUUUUUCUUAAAUAGUGUAUUGGGAAAACAAUGUUUUAUAACCUUGGUGCAUAAUUUCCUAAACAGUAUAUUCAUAGGACAAAUGCCAAUAAGCCAGAAUGUUACAUAAACAAGAAUGCUAUAAAUUGUGUGGACUAUUUACAUAAAAAAACUUCAGUUUGAGAAUGCAUACAAUAACUCAUUUUUAAGUAUUUUGCAGCAUAUUCAGUAGGAAAGAGAAAGGUUACAAAGAGAAACUCCUUCUUUUAUAGCUCAAAAGUUUAGAAAGCAAGGUUUAUUGUAUGGUCAGUCAAAUUCUGUGUAGUCUUGAACCCAAAAGUUACUACAGCUGUAGUGAUUUGAUAGAGAGACUGUUCAUGUAUCAUAAUCUAGUAACACUAAUUGACGAGUUGUUCUUGUCACUGUAAACAGAUGUUUAUGGGUUAAACUCCAGUGACUAGAGGAAGUAAUUUUUGUAGGGUGUCAGGUAUUUCUUAAUUAAUAUUAGUGGAGCUAUAUACAUACAUUAGAAGGGAAUAUUUUUUUUUUUUUGACUAAGCUCAGCUCUCUGCUACUGAUGUUUCUGAAGUUUGACAGAGUUGGACAGCAAUGAACUCAGAUCUGAAGACCAUCUCCCUUGCUCUCAUGCGUGAUGCAGCUAGAUAGAAAUGUUUUAUGAACCUUUUUAUCUACAAAAAUGCUUCCCAUUUCUAGUUACCAAUGCCCUUAUUUCAGUUUGCAUAUUCCUGAGAAGUUAAUUAAAGAAGUCUGGUGUAAGGAUUUCAGCUGUGUGACUUAACACUGCUGCUCCUCAAAACUUCGGUGUAAAUCUGAAGAGCAAAGCUGCUUAUAGAACAAAUUAAUUAUGUACCUGCCUGCCCAUGUAACUAGAAAGUGUAAGUAACACAUACAGAAGCUGGCAGAACUCUGUAGCAUCUUAUUUUAUCUCUGUCUUGUUCUUUUCAGAGUCAGAGCUCCAACAGUUUAUCAUCUGUUUUCUUUCACCUGACAUAACAGGUUUAAGCCCAUUACAAUAAAACAAGUACAGCUGUGAUCUAGUCAAACCUACUAUGUUGGGAGGAGAGAGAAACGGUUUUUAUUACAGCACUUUCAUUUAUGAUGAAAUCUUCAAAACUUGUGAUAAUCUAAUGGGUUGUGAUAGUCACUUUUCUUCAGCAGUGUGGCCACAUCAACCCAAGAAAAUGAGAGUCUAAAUGAUACAGCUGGCCAUGGUGCUUGAAUGUUCUUGAAGAGAUGGAAAUGCCAUCUUAUUUCCCUGUUCUAUAUUGUAGUUUUUAUUCCCUCUAUCUUUGUUUAACCUGAAUAAACUUUAAAAACUUCAGAAGCAAUACUCUACUGUUUCUAAGCACUUCUAGUGUUAAUGAAGUGGUUUGAAGUUUGACUCCUUACAUCUUAAUACACAUGAAAAAUAUUGUUAGUAUGCCCACCCCCUCCCCAAGGAUUUGUUUGUUCCUUGACAAUGUUUCUAUUCAACAUUAUUUUCAAAGAUUUUUACAAGAAAUGUAGAAAUGCAUAUUUAAGAUAACACUUAAAAUCGAGGCUGAAUCUAGCCUAUAUUCUAACAAAGAUCUGGGAAUCUCUCUUAUAUGAAGAAGGGUGGUUAGUAGAUUUCCUGUUUUGUUUCUAGACUGAAUUUAGAUUUCCAAUGUCUUCAUUGUGACUAGAUGACACAUUCAAUUACAUUCAACAAUUUAUAGAUAUAUAACUUGUGAAGAAAAUAUGCUCCAGAGGGCAAAAUCGCAAUUCAUUUUUUUUCCCAUGUAAAUUAUGCUGUAAACCUUGUGAAUAGCACU